CCUACGGGGGGCAGCAGUGGGGAAUAUUGCUCAAUGGGCGAAACCCUGAACCAGCGAUGCCGCGUGAGUGAGGAAGUUUUUCGGUAUAUAAAGCUCUAUUAGCAGGGAAGAAAAUGACGGUACCUGACUAAGAAGCCCUGGAUAUCUACCUACCAGCAGCGGCGGUAAUACGUCGGGGGCAAGCGUUAUCCGGAUUUACUGGGUGUAACGGGAGCGUAGGCGGUUAAUCAAGUCAGAAGUGAAAACCCAGGGCUCAACCUUGGGACUGCUUUUGAAACUGGGUAGCUAGAGUGCAGGAGAGGGAAGCGGAAUUCCUAGUGUAGCGGUAAAAUGCGUAGAUAUUAGGAAGAACACCAGUGGCGAAGGCGGCUUACUGGACUGUAACUGACGUUGAGGCACGAAAGCGUGGGGAGCAAACAGGAUUAGAUACCCGUGUAGUC
rnacentral:rRNA from 1 species